AAGACUCUGUCUCAAAAAAAAAAAAAAAAAAGAAAAAAUUCAAUUUAUUCAUUUUAUUUAAAAGUGACAUUAGUCCUUGGCCACAGGGAAAUGGAAAGAAAAGGCAGGACAAAGCACAGAGACAAUGCUUCAUAAUGUUUUUGAGUUUAAAUUGCAAAAGCAGCUCCUAAAUGAUAGUGUCAAUUCUGCUAAUGAGAGAAUUAGCAGAGAGGACAAGGCGGGAGGCUUCGAGAGAAUUUGUGAAAUGUUAAGUUGGGGAAAUGCCAGUAACAAGGAUGACAAUAUCACCCUGCAUUAAUGAGCACGCAUUCUGGCCAGGCAGGUACCACGCUUAGCCUUUUCGGGGCAUUUAUCUCAUGCAACCUAUCCUUACAGCAGUCCUCUGAGGCAGGCUGCGUUGCCACCCUCCAAGAGAACGUGGCCAUGGCGGGCUGAGGUAUGAGCAGAGCACCACUUCACGGCCAGGUCCCAAGGUUGGACGACUCAGGAGCCAAAGAACUGUAAAAGACAACAACAUUCACCUUUAAAUGCAUUACCUAUCAAACGUUAACUUGUGCUAGCUUGGAGCUGCCCCUGCCUUCUCUCUUUAACAGAAGCACAUCCUGAGACCCUGAGAUCAUAAGGUAAGUGUCUGAACACUGUUACCACGUACAAAUAUUUAUCUAUCUCCUUACUGUACAAAGAAGAGACAAGCACAAGCAAUGCUUGGAGGUAGAAAAUGCCAAUUUGCUACUGCAAUCCCAAAUAUCCGCCUGCAUUAGCAUAGCCUCCCCUUGCUCUUCUCAGCCAUUGUCUUUUUAAGUAAACAUUACAAACUUAAACAGAACAAUGUAUGCUAAUGAAAUACUGCUUUUGUCUCUUUUAUAUAUUCAGUUGAUUCAUUUGACAAAUGAGGAAGCUAACUUUAGAAAGUGAACUUGGCUAAAGCAUAAGACUCAGCUACUACAGAAAGCCCAGUAUGCCCCUGCCACAGCCAGGCCAGGACUUUACCAAUCCUUCCGGCCACCCUGAGCUAUCUUAUCUUUCCCAAUUUGUAGCUGAGCCAGCAGAGGACCUGAGAGGACAAGGGACAGCUGGAAGAGAAACCAGCACCCACGCCUACACUCUUAUCAUCUCCAGAUUAGCAGAGGUAGCUUCUGGAAUGCUCAGUGGCCAGGAGAGGACACUCAAUUUUCUGGGGGCCAGCGGCCCCUGGAUAUUGUUCAAACAGACAAACCAAGGGUGAGAAUCUGGUCCAGACUUCCCUCCCUGCUACUCUGCAGAGAGCUCAAGAGAAGAGGAGACCACCUUGCUCUCCAAUUCUCCAGAAACCCUGGCUCAGGAUGGGUUAAACAGGUACCAGUGUCAGAAGCUGAGACUACCCAUUCCCGACCUCCUGCCUCCCCCACUGCCUUGUGCCCUAAGCUGAGGGGACCCAGGAGGAACUUCUACUUGGGUUAGACACGGGGAAGAGUUGUUGGCUAGACCACCAGGAGCCCUUUUAAAAACCCUGUAGUCCCUAUAAACUGCUGGAAACCAGCAGCCAGGCCCAGCAAGGUGCCAGGUCCCCUAGCACAACACCUGUGCGAUGUAGGCCACCAUCCAAGGAGCCAGCAAACACCAGGAGAGGAAAAAAGCCAAGCAACAGAGUGAAGACGAAGACAGGGUGGGAACCAGGACCAAGCGACCAGGAAGGAGGGAACAUCAGCUGUGAGGGGAGGGGGGCCGAGGUGAAGAACAAAGGAGAGCAGAGGGAGGGUGCAGGGACAGUGGGGAGGUGUGCAAAGCAGUGGUCAGUCAGCUGGCCCGGCACACACAUCAGCUUGCUCACUGCCGCGGCUGUGAGACUAGCAGCAUCCUCCAGCCCAUCUGUGCCCUGCC